rnacentral:rRNA from 1 species
GCCAGACUCCUACGGGAGGCAGCAGUGGGGAAUAUUGCACAAUGGGGGGAACCCUGAUGCAGCGACGCCGCGUGGGUGAAGGAGCACCUCGGUGCGUAAAGCCCUAUCGGCAGGGAAGAAGGAGGACGGUACCUGACUAAGAAGCCCCGGCUAACUACGUGCCAGCAGCCGCGGUAAUACGUAGGGGGCAAGCGUUAUCCGGAUUUACUGGGUGUAAAGGGGGCGCAGACGGCAGCGCAAGCCAGGAGUGAAAGCCCGGGGCCCAACCCCGGGACUGCUCUUGGAACUGCGCGGCUGGAGUGCAGGAGGGGCAGGCGGAAUUCCUGGUGUAGCGGUGAAAUGCGUAGAUAUCAGGAGGAACACCGGUGGCGAAGGCGGCCUGCUGGACUGCGACUGACGUUGAGGCCCGAAAGCGUGGGGAGCAAACAGGAUUAGAUACCCUUGUAU